rnacentral:rRNA from 1 species
AGAUUGAACGCUGGCGGCAUGCCUUACACAUGCAAGUCGAACGGCAGCACGGGAGCAAUCCUGGUGGCGAGUGGCGAACGGGUGAGUAAUACAUCGGAACGUGCCCAAUCGCGGGGGAUAACGCAGCGAAAGCUGUGCUAAUACCGCAUAAGAUCUACGGAUGAAAGCAGGGGAUCGCAAGACCUUGCGCGAAUGGAGCGGCCGAUGGCAGAUUAGGUAGUUGGUGAGGUAAAGGCUCACCAAGCCUUCGAUCUGUAGCUGGUCUGAGAGGACGACCAGCCACACUGGGACUGAGACACGGCCCAGACUCCUACGGGAGGCAGCAGUGGGGAAUUUUGGACAAUGGGGGAAACCCUGAUCCAGCCAUCCCGCGUGUGCGAUGAAGGCCUUCGGUUGUAAGCACUUUGGCAGGAAGAAACGGCGACAUUCUAAUACGAUGCGUCACUGACGUACCUGCAAGAAUAACGCACCGGACUAACCG